rfam:Angiostrongylus costaricensis strain Costa Rica genome assembly, scaffold: ACOC_contig0002463
GCAGCGAUGUCCGAGUGGUUAAGGAGAUUGGUUUGAAAUCAAAUGGGCUCUCCCCGCAUAGGUUCGAAUCCUGCUCGCUGCG